UCCCUGACAGUCCAGUGGUUAGGACUCAGCACCUUCACUUCUGUGGCCUGGGUUCAAUCUCUGGUCAGAGAA
rnacentral:tRNA from 1 species